rnacentral:rRNA from 1 species
CUAAGCUGUAACUGACGCUCAUGCACGAAAGCGUGGGGAUCAAACAGGAUUAGAUACCCUGGUAGUCCACGCUGUAAACGAUGAUCACUCGUUGUUAGCGAUAUACUGUUAGCGACUGAGCGAAAGCAUUAAGUGAUCCACCUGGGGAGUACGGCGGCAACGUUGAAACUCAAAGGAAUUGACGGGGGCCCGCACAAGCGGAGGAGCAUGUGGUUUAAUUCGAUGAUACGCGAGGAACCUUACCUGGGCUUAAAUGUAGGACGACGUUCCGCGAAAGCGGGAUUUCCUUCGGGACGUCUUACAAGGUGCUGCAUGGUUGUCGUCAGCUCGUGCCGUGAGGUGUCGGGUUAAGUCCCAUAACGAGCGCAACCCUUAUCAUUAGUUGCCAUCAGGUAAUGCUGGGAACUCUAAUGAAACUGCCUACGCAAGUAGUGAGGAAGGUGGGGAUGACGUCAAAUCAGCACGGCCCUUAUGUCCAGGGCGACACACGUGCUACAAUGGCCAGUACAGAGGGUUGCUACCUGGUGACAGGAUGCUAAUCUCGAAAGCUGGUCUCAGUUCGGAUUGAAGUCUGCAACUCGACUUCAUGAAGUUGGAUUCGCUAGUAAUCGCGCAUCAGCCAUGGCGCGGUGAAUACGUUCCCGGGCCUUGUACACACCGCCCGUCAAGCCAUGGGAGUUGGGGGUACCUAAAGUCCGUAACCGCAAGGGGCGGCCUAGGGUAAAACCAAUGACUGGGGCUAAGUCGUAACAAGGUAACCGUA